GAGAGACGAGACGACGAGGCUCCAGUUCAUUCAGCGCAAAGACAGCAAUAAAUAUACACUUUAAGACUAAGCUUUACAAAUCAAACCAGUUCAAGUUUCAGCAACCUCAUUCCUGCAAUUUGUUGACACAUGUAAGUCCUGGUGAUGCUAUGAGUGUUUUUUAUAUUGAGGUGAUGGUAAUAUUCUCUCACUGACAAAUUCAAAAAUACUGGGGGCUGCCAGUGGUGCCCCUCAGCCUCCUAGUUGAUGCAUCAAUAAUAUGAUUUUUCUUUUUUUCAGAAAAGUUGACCUCUGACCUUGAUGUCAAGGUCAUCGGUUUUUAAACUUGUUUGAGAUUAUAAGUAGAUGCACCUAUAACAUCAACUUGAAAAAGCUACAUAGCCUCAUUCUCGAGUUGUCACAUUCACAGAGUGUCCACGCUGCCCACUGGUGAUGAAUAUCAGUCUUUUAUGGCUGAUGAUAAAAACAGUGGCAGCUACAGUAGUAGGAAA